AGAGUUUGAUCCUGGCUCAGGACGAACGCUGGCGGCGUGCCUAAUACAUGCAAGUCGAGCGAACAGACGAGGUGCUUGCACCUCACUCUGUUAGCGGCGGAUGGGUGAGUAACACGUGGGCAACCUGCCCUACAGUUGGGGAUAACUCCGGGAAACCGGGGCUAAUACCGAAUGACUAAUUUAAUCUCAUGAUUGAAUUAUAAAAGAUGGUUUCGGCUAUCGCUGUAGGAUGGGCCCGCGGCGCAUUAGCUAGUUGGUGGGGUAACGGCCUACCAAGGCAACGAUGCGUAGCCGACCUGAGAGGGUGAUCGGCCACACUGGGACUGAGACACGGCCCAGACUCCUACGGGAGGCAGCAGUAGGGAAUCUUCCACAAUGGACGAAAGUCUGAUGGAGCAACGCCGCGUGAGUGAUGAAGGUUUUCGGAUCGUAAAACUCUGUUGCGAGGGAAGAACAAGUACGAGAGUAACUGCUCGUACCUUGACGGUACCUCGUUAGAAAGCCACGGCUAACUACGUGCCAGCAGCCGCGGUAAUACGUAGGUGGCAAGCGUUGUCCGGAAUUAUUGGGCGUAAAGCGCGCGCAGGCGGCCUUUUAAGUCUGAUGUGAAAGCCCACGGCUUAACCGUGGAAGGUCAUUGGAAACUGGAAGGCUUGAGGAUAGAAGAAGAAAGUGGAAUUCCCGUGUACCGGUGAAUGCGUAAAGAUGUGGAGGAACACCAUUGGCG
rnacentral:rRNA from 1 species